UCGGGAAUUUUGGGCAAUGGGCGAAAGCCUGACCCAGCAACGCCGCGUGAAGGAUGAAGUAUUUCGGUAUGUAAACUUCUGUCAGGGGAAAGAAAGUUCUGAUCUACCCCAGAGGAAGAGGCGGCUAACUCUGUGCCAGCAGCCGCGGUAAUACAGAGGCCUCGAGCGUUAGACGGAAUCACUGGGCUUAAAGGGAGUGUAGGCGGUAAGGUGUGUUCGGCGUGAAAGACCUCGGCUUAACCGGGGAAGUGCACUGAAUACUACCUUACUUGAGUGUGAGAGGGGAUGGCGGAAUUGUCAGUGUAGAGGUGAAAUUCGUAGAUACUGGCAGGAACACCGGAGGCGAAGGCGGCCAUCUGGAUCACAACUGACGCUGAUACUCGAAAGCGUGGGUAGCAAACAGGAUUAGAUACCCGUGUAGUCCCUGAGCGGGCUGGCAAGGCGCAU
rnacentral:rRNA from 1 species